rnacentral:rRNA from 1 species
GCAAAGAAGUGGGCCGGAGCGGCGGUAAAAGGGCGUGGGCGAGCGUGGUCCGGAAUGUCUGGGCGUAAAGCGCACGCGUGCGGUUAUGUAAGUCGGACGUUAAAGCGCCUAGCGCAACGGGUAGAGGUCGUUCUAAACUGCAUAGCUUGAGGUUGGAAGAGGAGAGCGGAACUCCCGGUGUAGGGGUGGAAUGCGUAGAUAUCGGGAGGAACACCAGUGGCGAAAGCGGCUCUCUGGUCCACACCUGACGCUCAGGUGCGAAAGCGUGGGUAGCGAACGGGAUUAGAUACCCCGGUAGUC